UACGUAGGGUGCAAGCGUUGUCCGGAAUUAUUGGGCGUAAAGAGUUCGUAGGCGGCUUGUCGCGUCCGUUGUGAAAGCUUGGGGCUCAACCCCAAGUCUGCAGUGGGUACGGGCAGGCUAGAGUCAGGUAGGGGAGAACGGAAUUCCUGGUGUAGCGGUGAAAUGCGCAGAUAUCAGGAGGAACACCGGUGGCGAAGGCGGUUCUCUGGGCCUGUACUGACGCUGAGGAACGAAAGCGUGGGGAGCGAACAGG
rnacentral:rRNA from 1 species